rnacentral:rRNA from 1 species
GACGGAGGGUGCAAGCGUUGUUCGGAAUUACUGGGCGUAAAGCGUGUGUAGGCGGUCUCAUAAGUCGGGUGUGAAAGCCCAGGGCUCAACCCUGGAAGUGCACUCGAAACUGCGAGGCUUGAGUACCGGAGAGGUUGGUGGAAUUCUCGGUGUAGAGGUGAAAUUCGUAGAUAUCGAGAGGAACACCGGUGGCGAAGGCGGCCAACUGGACGAGUACUGACGCUGAGAGACGAAAGCUAGGGGAGCGAAUGGG